rnacentral:rRNA from 1 species
UCGGUGGAUUCACUCGGCUCGUGGAUCGAUGAAGAGUGCAGCCAACUGUGUGAAGUAAUGUGAAUCGCAGACUGCUUUGAACAUCGAUACCUUGAACGCAUAUUGCGGCCAUAGGCUUGCCUAUGGCCACGUCUGUCUGAGCGUCGGCUUAUAAACUAUCACUGCGCGUAAUAAGCAGUGGCUUGGGAGAGUGCUGUGGCUGCUGCUGCUGCAGCAGCGGUUGGUGUGUGCCGGGUGUACGUCUGUGUGUGCGUGUGAGGAAGUCAGCUGUUGUACACUGCUUCCGGUACUGCCGGCACUACUACUACUACUACUGCUGUUGUUGUGGUGGUUGGGGCUUCUCUUUAAGGUAUUGUCACAGUCGCCAUCGCCGCUGCUAAUUAGCAAUAAUACGAGCGAGCGAGCGGUGGUGCGUGUGGCACGGAGCUUGUGGUUGUGAGUACCAGCUGCUAUGCGCGCUCUAGUGCGUUAUAGUUGCUGCAGUUCACUAACCGUGGCCUAGUGUUGUGUAAGGCACGAGAUGUGGAUUGCGGUGAAUAAAGGCUGUGUGUCUGUCUGACUGGAAGCUCAAUGUGUAAAUACAAGCAUAGGUCACGCGUGUGCUAUCCCGCUGCUGCCGCUGCGGACAUAGUAUGUGUAUGGAGGACCUGACCUCAGAUCAGUCGU